GACGAACGCUGGCGGCGUGCUUAACACAUGCAAGUCGAACGGAAAGGCCCUGCUUUUGUGGGGUGCUCGAGUGGCGAACGGGUGAGUAGCACGUGAGUAACCUGCCCUUGACUUUGGGAUAACUUCAGGAAACUGGGGCUAAUACCGGAUAGGAUCUCCUGCUGCAUGGUGGGGGUUGGAAAGUUUCGGCGGUUGGGGAUGGACUCGCGGCUUAUCAGCUUGUUGGUGGGGUAGUUGCUUACCAAGGCUUUGACGGGUAGCCGGCCUGAGAGGGUGACAGGCCACAUUGGGACUGAGAUACGGACCAGACUGGUACGGGAGGCAGCAGUGGGGAAUAUUGCAAAAUGGGCGGAAGCCUGAGGCAGCAACGCCGCGUGCGGGAUGACGGCCUUCGGGUUGUAAACCGCUUUCGCCUGUGACGAAGCGUGAGUGACGGUAAUGGGUAAAGAAGCACCGGCUAACUACGUG
rnacentral:rRNA from 1 species